GGGAGGUGGUAGACUAGUGUUGGUUGUGGGGAGGUGGUAGACUAGUGUUGGUUGUGGGGAGGUGGUAGACUAGUGUUGGUUGUGGGGAGGUGGUAGACUAGUGUUGGUUGUGGGGAGGUGGUAGACUAGUGUUGGUUGUGGGGAGGUGGUAGACUAGUGUUGGUUGUGGGGAGGUGGUAGACUAGUGUUGGUUGUGGGGAGGUGGUAGACUAGUGUUGGUUGUGGGGAGGUGGUAGACUAGUGUUGGUUGUGGGGAGGUGGUAGACUAGUGUUGGUUGUGGGGAGGUGGUAGACUAGUGUUGGCUGUGGGGAGGUGGUAGACUCGCAUUGGUUGUGUGGGGAGGUAGACUAGCGUUGGUUGUGGGGCGGCGCGGUAGACUAGCGUUGGUUGUGGGGGGCGAGGUAGACUAGCGUUGGUGUGUGGGGGCGAGGUAGA